CCUACGGGAGGCAGCAGUGAGGAAUAUUGGUCAAUGGACGAGAGUCUGAACCAGCCAAGUAGCGUGAAGGAUGACUGCCCUAUGGGUUUUAAACUUCUUUUAUAUGGGAAUAAAAUGUUCCACGUGUGGGAUUUUGUAUGUACCAUAUGAAUCCGGAUCGGCUAACUCCGUGCCAGCAGCCGCGGUAAUACGGAGGAUCCGAGCGUUAUCCGGAUUUAUUGGGUUUAAAGGGAACGUAGGUGGAUUGUUAAGUCAGUUGUGAAAGUUUGCGGCUCAACCGUAAAAGUGCAGUUGAAACUGGCAGUCUUGAGUACAGUAGAGGUGGGCGGAAUUCGUGGUGUAGCGGUGAAAUGCUUAGAUAUCACGAAGAACUCCGAUUGCGAAGGCAGCUCACUGGACUGCAACUGACACUGAGGCUCGAAAGUGUGGGUAUCAAACAGGAUUAGAUACCCCAGUAGUC
rnacentral:rRNA from 1 species